GACGAACGCUGGCGGCGCGCUUAACACAUGCAAGUCGAGCGAAGCGGCGGACGGGUGCGUAACCCGUGAGUAACCUGCCUUAGACAUUGGGAUAGCCUCGGGAAACCGGGAUUAAUACCAAAUGGUCUAAGAUGGACUCGCGUCCCAUUAGCUAGUUGGUGGGUAACGGCCCACCAAGGGGACGAUGGGUAGCCGGCCUGUGAGGGUGAACGGACACAUUGGAACUGUGCAACGGUCCAAACUCUACGGGAGGCAGCAGUGGGGAAUAGUGCACAGUGGAGGGAACUCUGAUGCAGGGACGCCGCGUGAACGAAGAAGGCUUUCGAGACGUAAAGUGCUUUUAUAUGGGAAGCGGUACCAUAAGAAAAAGCCCCGGCUAACUACGUGCCAGCCGCCGCGGUAAUUC
rnacentral:rRNA from 1 species